ACUGGCGCUUUAAAAGUUUAAAGAGUCUCAGCGCUUCAUUCAUUCACAGGAGCAUUUACCACAGCCAUCAGUUGAAUCAUCAGCAUUCUGG